rnacentral:rRNA from 1 species
GCGCCUACNNNGGUUUNAACGGGUAACGGGGAAUUAGGGUUCGAUUCCGGAGAGGGAGCCUGAGAAACGGCUACCACAUCCAAGGAAGGCAGCAGGCGCGCAAAUUACCCAAUCCCGACACGGGGAGGUAGUGACAAUAAAUAACAAUACAGGGCUCUUUCGGGUCUUGUAAUUGGAAUGAGUACAAUUUAAAUCCCUUAACGAGGAACAAUUGGAGGGCAAGUCUGGUGCCAGCAGCCGCGGUAAUUCCAGCUCCAAUAGCGUAUAUUAAAGUUGUUGCAGUUAAAAAGCUCGUAGUUGAAUUUCGGGGUUCCACCGUUGGUCGGGCUAUUGUCUGUACUGGCGUGUGGAAUUUCUACCUUCUGGGGAACUAUCAUGUUAUUAAUUUAGCGUGGUAGGAAACCAGGACCUUUACCUUGAAAAAAUUAGAGUGUUCAAAGCAGGCUUAUGUCUGAAUACAUCAGCAUGGAAUAAUAAAAUAGGACGGUGGUCCUGUUUUGUUGGUUUCUGAAUCACCGUAAUGAUUAAUAGGGAUAGUUGGGGGCAUUAGUAUUCAAUUGUCAGAGGUGAAAUUCUUGGAUUUAUUGAAGACUAACUACUGCGAAAGCAUUUGCCAAGGAUGUUUUCAUUAAUCAAGAACGAAAGUUAGGGGAUCGAAGACGAUCAGAUACCGUCGUAGNUCUUAACCAUAAACUAUGCCGACUAGGGAUCGGACGAUGUUAACUUUUUCUUGACUCGUUCGGNGCCUUACGGGAAACCAAAGUGUUUGGGUUC